CUAAAUUUGCUGGUGGUUUGGGUAUUAAAAAUUCUACUUGGAUGAAUCAAGCUCUUCUUGCUAAAACUGGUUGGCGCUUGUUGCAACGUGAGCAAGGUCUUUGGGCUCAAGUGUUUAAUGCUAAGUAUCUAAGGCGUUGUGAUAUUCUUGCGGCUAAAGAUCUGCAGUUCCAGAGUAGCUCCAAUGUCUGGAAGGGUAUCUUACAUGGUGCUCAAGUUCUUUCUGCAGGUGUUAAAUGGCGUGUGGGGUCUGGGGAUGAUAUCUUGAUAUGGACUGACAGAUGGCUUAGUUGUGGCCCUUUAUAGCAAUUUGCUCUGAUUGAUUUAUCUGAGGACAUGCUUCAAUUAAAUGUUAGUGAUUUUUUGGAGGAUGGGGUUUGGGAUUUCAAUUGCUUAUUGGAAUGCCUGCCUAUAAAUAUUGUCAACUUGAUCCUUAGUACUCAUGCUGGCUGUAAUGGUAGUGGGGAGGAUAAAUGCAUCUGGCAGCCCACCUCUAAUGGCCAAUUUUCUGUAAAAACUGCCUAUAGCACCUUUUAUCGGGA
rnacentral:lncRNA from 1 species